UAGGGAAUCUUCGGCAAUGGACGAAAGUCUGACCGAGCAACGCCGCGUGAGUGAAGAAGGUUUUCGGAUCGUAAAACUCUGUUGUUAGAGAAGAACAAGGACGUUAGUAACUGAACGUCCCCUGACGGUAUCUAACCAGAAAGCCACGGCUAACUACGUGCCAGCAGCCGCGGUAAUACGUAGGUGGCAAGCGUUGUCCGGAUUUAUUGGGCGUAAAGCGAGCGCAGGCGGUUUCUUAAGUCUGAUGUGAAAGCCCCCGGCUCAACCGGGGAGGGUCAUUGGAAACUGGGGGAGUUGAGUGCAGAAGAGGAGAGUGGAAUUCCAUGUGUAGCGGUGAAAUGCGUAGAUAUAUGGAGGAAAACAGGUGGCGAGGGGGGCUCUCGGGUCUGUAACUGACGCUGAGGCUCAAAGGCGUGGGGGGCAAACAGG
rnacentral:rRNA from 1 species